rnacentral:lncRNA from 1 species
CUUCAGAGCCCCGCGUCACGCGGUAGCUGCCGGGGCGCGGCCCGGGAGCCCGGAGCCCGGGCCCGAGGACGUGAUGAGCUCCAGGGCCCGCGAGGGAGUGCGCACCCCGCGCAGCAGCCCCACCCCGCACUAGAACUGGCGGGGCUGGGGGCGCGCGUUCGAGGAGUGGACCGACUGGCGUUAAAGGGGAGGCGAGGGGCCGUCCCCUGGGCCUCCGCGCGACCUCCGCCCCGUGAGAGAAGACCUCGCCGAGUGCGGGACUCAGUCCUGAAAUGCUCGUGGCUGAUGGCCGUCCGUCAGGCCGAUGCCAGAACUGGAGUGCUGCGAGGGUGGCUCCAAACUCGCCAUUUUGGGUGCGACAACUCCUUGCUGGCUUUCUUUUUCAGUUCCUCGGGCUAGACAGGCGUGCCUGUUGGGUGGCUUCGGUGUGGGCCUCGACUCUUGGUCUCUAAAAGCACCGGGGCUGCUCUUCCUCCCUUCGCAGGUGAAUCCAGCUGUGCAGUCCCGCCCCCAGAUGCCCUGCUCCGCAGUCUGGCCUCCGGGCCUCGGGUGGGUCUGUGAGGUCCGUCCAGGCUUCCCUGCAUCUCCUGAACCGCAGUGCCUGAGACCGAACCUCGUUCUUGAGAUGCGCUUUGAAAAAUACCUGGCAGUAUGAUGUAGUGCUGUUUUUUAUGUGGAUUUAGUUGGGCAUCAAAUUUUAUUUGUUUUUUUAAAACAUCAGUGAUAUUCUUUUUUGCAUAAACUGAAUGAAUUAGAUUAAUGCUGUUCUUAU